AGUUUGAAGAUUCCCUUAAGACCGAAACAAACAAGUAAACACCUCUGACUAUGUUUGGUCGUUUAGUCUAUGGUGGAUCUGUAGAUCCAUUUUUUUUAAACUGAAGUUUGGAUGUUUUAUUUAUUUUAGAAAUGUAAAAGAUUUCUGUGUCUGUGAAUGUGCAGUGUUGUAUGGUAGAGGAAAACAUAGGCCCUGAAUACCCUUGGCUGUGUACAUUUGAGUAAAGAGAGCACUAUAAAAUCAAAAACCAAUGAAAUGGUUUCCAGAACACAGAACUAUUAAGCUUAAGAAAAGGACAGAAGGAACUGAAGAGAGAGGAACUGUUUUGGAGCAUCACACUUCCACCUCAGAAGAAAUAAGGAAGGAAGGAGGAGGGUGUUCCCACGGCUCUUCAACCAGGCCGGCUCUUCAGCCUACAUCCCCAUCUCAUCAAGUAAAAGGGAUUUUUCAACUGGACCAACCAGAUGGUUUAACAGUGCACUCCCACACCAUUCAACUACGCAAGGGAGAUACACUUAACAUAUGCAGUCGUAUAACACCUACUAACAUUUUCAAACAUUAAACCUUUAAAAAAGAGUUCUAAAGAAAUAGAAGCUUGAAGUAUCAUCUCUCAAGUAUAUAGACACUACUUCAUGGUGUGGUAAUAUAUGCAUAUAGAAGCUAGUAAACACCUCCAGGAGAUGCAAAAGGAAUUAGAACUGCCACAAGGUGCAAGCAAAACCUUGAGAAGGAUGUGGUUGCUUCCCCUUCUGCCAUGAUUGUAAGUUCCCUGAGGCCUCCCCAGUCCUGCAAAACUAAAAAUCUGUUGAACUUUGAGAAAAUUUGUCCUCUAAGUGAGAACAUUAUGUCUGCUAAAUGGAGAUAGUCAGUAUUUGAAUUAAAAAGUAAACAAAUUACCUUGGGCAGUAUGGCCAUUUUCACAAUAUUGAUUCUUCCCACCAGUGAGCAUGGAAUGUUCCUCCAUUUGUUUGUAUCCUCUUUUAUUUCAUUGAGCAGUGGUUUGUAGUUCUCCUUGAAGAGGUCCUUCAUAUCCAUCAAGCUAUCAAUGACUUUCUUCACAGAAAUGGAAAAAACUACUUUAAAGUUCAUAUGGAACCAAAAGACAGCCCGCAAUGCCAAGUCAAUCCUAAGCCAAAAGAACAAAGCUGGAGGCAUCAUGCUACCUGACUUCAAACUAUACUACAAGGCUACAGUAACCAAAACAGCAUGGUACUGGUACCAAAACAGAGAUACAGACCAAUGGAACAGAACAGAGCCCUCAGAAAUAAUGCCACAUAUCUACAACCAUCUGAUCUUUGACAAACCUGACAAAAACAAGAAAUGGGGAAAGGAUUCCCUAUUUAAUAAAUGAUGCUGGGAAAACUGGUUAGCCAUAUGUAGAAAGCUGAAACUGGAUCCCUUCCUUACACCUUAUACAAAAAUUAAUUCAAGAUAGAUUAAAGACUUAAAUGUUAGACCUAAAACCAUAAAAACACUAGAAGAAAACCUAGGCAAUACCAUUCAGGACAUAGGCAUGGGCAAAGACUUCAUGUCUAAAACACGAAAAGCAAUGGCAACAAAAGCCAAAAUUGACAAAUGGGAUCUAAUUAAACUAAAGAGCUUCUGCACAGCAAAAGAAACUACCAUCAGAGUGAACAGGCAACCUACAGAAUGGGAGAAACUUUUUGCAAUCUACUCAUCUGACAAAGGGCUAAUAUCCAGAAUCUCCAAUGAACUCAGAAAAACUUACAAGAAAUAAACAAACAACCCCAUCAACAAGUGGGCGAAGGAUAUGAACAGACACUUCUCAAAAGAAGACAUUCAUGCAGCCAAAAGACACAUGAAAAAAUGCUCAUCAUCACUGGCCAUCAGAGAAAUGCAAAUCAAAACCACAAUGAGAUACUGUCUUACACCAGUUAGAAUGGCAAUCAUUAAAAAGUCAGGAAACAACAGGUGCUAGACAGGAUGUGGAGAAAUAGGAACACUUUUACACUGUUGGUGGUACUGUAAACUAGUUCAACCAUUGUGGAAGUCAGUGUGGCGAUUCCUCAGGGAUCUAGAACUAGAAAUACCAUUUGACCCAGCCAUCCCAUUACUGGGUAUAUACCCAAAGGAUUAUAAGUCAUGCUGCUAUAAAGACACAUGCACACAUAUGUUUAUUGUGGCACUAUUCACAAUAGCAAAGACUUGGAACCAACCCAAAUGUCCAACAAUGAUAGACUGGAUUAAGAAAAUGUGGCACAUAUACACCGUGAAAUACUAUGCAGCCAUAAAAAAGGAUGAGUUCAUGUC
ensembl:lncRNA LINC00343 long intergenic non-protein coding RNA 343